UCAUAUGCUUGUCUCAAAGAUUAAGCCAUGCAUGUCUCAGUGCAAGCCGUCCCGUACGGUGAAACCGCGAAAGGCUCAGUAAAUCAGUUAUGGUUCCUUAGAUUGUACCCACAUUUGUGUUACUUGGAUAACUGUGGUAAUUCUAGAGCUAAUACAUGCCGACAGAGUUCCGACCAGCGCCGGGUGUAUUAGGCUUCGCGCCGACGCCUGGUGUUCGGAAGGAACGCUCUUAUUAGAUCAAAACCGGCCAAACAGUGUUUGCUAACGCGUUUUCGAACGCGUUCGCGCUGUAAGCGGCCCGCGCAAAGACUUGACGACUCUGAAUAAUUUCGAGCUGAUCGCACGGUCUUGGUACCGGCGACGUAUCUUUCAAAUGUCUGCCUUAUCAACUGUCGACGGUAGGUUCGAUGCCUACCGUGGUGGUAACGGGUAACGGGGAAUCAGGGUUCGAUUCCGGAGAGGGAGCCUGAGAAACGGCUACCACAUCCAAGGAAGGCAGCAGGCGCGCAAAUUACCCACUCCCAGCUCGGGGAGGUAGUGACGAAAAAUAACGAUGCGGGACUCUUAUGAGGCUUCCGUAAUCGGAAUGAGUACACUUUAAAACCUUGGUCACACGAGGAUCAAUUGGAGGGCAAG
rnacentral:rRNA from 1 species